UCUCCUGGAAACGGGUGGUAAUGCCGGAUGCUUCCGACUCUCGCAUGGGGUGUCGGGAAAGAUUUCAUCGGUAUGGGAUGGGGUCGCGUCCUAUCAGGUAGUCGGCGGGGUAACGGCCCACCGAGCCUACGACGGGUAGCCGGCCUGAGAGGGCGACCGGCCACAUUGGGACUGAGAUACGGCCCAGACUCCUACGGGAGGCAGCAGUGGGGAAUAUUGCACAAUGGGCGCAAGCCUGAUGCAGCGACGCCGCGUGCGGGAUGACGGCCUUCGGGUUGUAAACCGCUUUUGAUCGGGAGCAAGCCUUCGGGUGAGUGUACCUUUCGAAUAAGCACCGGCUAACUACGUGCCAGCAGCCGCGGUAAUACGUAGGGUGCAAGCGUUAUCCGGAAUUAUUGGGCGUAAAGGGCUCGUAGGCGGUUCGUCGCGUCCGGUGUGAAAGUCCAUCGCUUAACGGUGGAUCUGCGCCGGGUACGGGCGGGCUGGAGUGCGGUAGGGGAGACUGGAAUUCCCGGUGUAACGGUGGAAUGUGUAGAUAU
rnacentral:rRNA from 1 species